rnacentral:rRNA from 1 species
CUGCGUACGGCUCAUUACACCAGCUGUAAUUUACUUGACCUUGACAUCCUACACGGAUAACUGUGGUAAUUCUAGAGCUAAUACGUGCACCAAAGCUCCGAUCUUCACAGAGAGGAGUGCAUUUGUUCGCCACAAAACCAAGCGCCUUCGGGCGUCUGUUGUUGACUCAGAACAACUCAGCUGAUCGCACGGUCUUGCACCGGCGACAUGUCUUUCAAGUGUCUGCCCUAUCAACUUUCGAUGGUAUGGUACGUGCCUACCAUGGUUGUGACGGGUAACGGAGGAUAAGGGUUCGACUCCGGAGAAGGGGCCUGAGAAAUGGCCACUACGUCUAAGGAUGGCAGCAGGCGCGCAAAUUACCCACUCUCGACUUGAGGAGGUAGUGACGAGAAAUAGCGAGACCGUUCUCAAAUGAGGCCGGUCAUCGGAAUGGGUACAAUUUAAACCCUUUAACGAGUAUCUAUGAGAGGGCAAGUCUGGUGCCAGCAGCCGCGGUAAUUCCAGCUCUCAAAAUGCAUAGAAUCAUUGCUGCGGUUAAAAAGCUCGUAGUUGGAUCUGUGCUGGCCGCCCGGUCUGCCCGCAGGGUAUGCACUGGAGCGGUUGGCUUUUGUGCUGGUCUUUCCCCGGCGUUGGCCUUUACCGGUCGGCGUCGGUGGGCUAGCGAGUUUACUUUGAACAAAUCAGAGUGCUUCAAACAGGCGUUUCGCUUGAAUGUUCGUGCAUGGAAUAAUGGAAGAGGAUUUCGGUCCGAUUUUAUUGGUUUUGCUGGCCGAGAUAAUGGUUAACAGAGACAAAC